AGUGGCGAACGGGUGAGUAAUGUAUCGGAACGUACCUUUCAGUGGGGGAUAACGUAGCGAAAGUUACGCUAAUACCGCAUAUUCUGUGAGCAGGAAAGCAGGGGAUCGCAAGACCUUGCGCUGAUUGAGCGGCCGAUAUCAUAUUAGCUAGUUGGUGGGGUAGAGGCCUACCAAGGCGACGAUCUGUAGCGGGUCUGAGAGGAUGAUCCGCCACACUGGAACUGAGACACGGUCCAGACUCCUACGGGAGGCAGCAGUGGGGAAUUUUGGACAAUGGGGGCAACCCUGAUCCAGCCAUGCCGCGUGAGUGAAGAAGGCCUUCGGGUUGUAAAGCUCUUUCGGCCGGGAAGAAAUCGCAUAGGCUAAUACCCUGUGUGGAUGACGGUACCGGAAUAAGAAGCACCGGCUAACUACGUGCCAGCAGCCGCGGUAAUACGUAGGGUGCGAGCGUUAAUCGGAAUUACUGGGCGUAAAGCGUGCGCAGGCUGUUUCGUAAGACAGAGGUGAAAUCCCCGGGCUCAACCUGGGAACUGCCUUUGUGACUGCGAGGCUAGAGUACGGCAGAAGGGGGGGUGGAAUUCCACGUGUAGCAGUGAAAUGCGUAGAGAUGUGGAGGAACACCGAUGGCGAAUGCAGCCCCCUGGGCCGAUACUGACGCUCAUGCACGAAAGCGUG
rnacentral:rRNA from 1 species